UUUAUUUAUUUGUGGUUCUUUUGUUUCUCGGAGCCCUGAUGUAGAAAACUGUCAAUAUUGAGAGAACUUUGCUUUCGAGAAUCUUUUCUGUCUGAGCUAAACUGCUAUACUGGGAUUUUGAUAGAGUGUGGUGCAUGGGUUCAAACAUUGCAUCAUCUUUUCAAAAGUGUGACUGCUAGAAGUCUUAAUGAACAGACACUCACAUGUCUGUGUGUGUGUGCGCAUGAAUGUCUGUAUAUCAUUGUGUAGCUGUCACCCGGGAUUUUGGGAGCAGCUUCAAGAGCUCACUCCAUGAUAUGUUGGGUAUCAAAGGGGCAUAACCUUAAGUUGCUGGGUGCUUCCAGGCACAGGCAUCCAUUCGCAAUACCUCUGAACCAAACUAGUUCAGUUUAUGCUAUAUUACUGGCCUCAAGAAUGUGUUCAUUGGUAGGCUAGAAAUAUGGGCUUUAUGCUUUUAUGCAAUUUAUUACUUGAUCACCUAACCCCCUGUUGAGCAUUGCUGAUCUAAGAUUCUUGUUUACUGGGUGAGAAUGGGAGGCUGCGAGCUAUUAUUUUCCUGUAGCAUCAUGAGGGACUGCUUCUAGUGUCUCAAGUUUGAGCAACACUGACAAACUUCUUCAUAGCCCAAAUACAACAAUUGCAAGGCCUUCAUUUGAUGGUUUGCAAUUACUGGAGAGGAUUACUGGUCAUCAAGUUGAAAUGAUAAGGGACCUCAGGGCUUAUAAGAUUAUAUUGGGAAGCUGAAUAAGCGGAGAUUGGUUUAGCUUGUGCUAUUGCAAGUCGAACUGGGGUUCUUCACAGAUAUGACUUCUUGAUGAUCGUAAUGCAUGUUCAACUUCUUGCUCAAUCACAAACCAGCUAACAUAUUUCGAUCUAUGUUGGCUUCUUUAUCACCAACUGAAAAAUUGCAGACAUCUAAUGUAAUUUAGUUUUAGAUAUAUUUUUUUUUGUCAUUUUUUUUAACUUCUUUCUUCGAUCAAGAAAGAGAUUGAACAGGGUAUGCUGCUAGGGUGCAAAGCCAGCAUCCGCUUUUCGGACUUUGUGGCCGAUGCAAGGCUUAUUGAUCAAAUGCAAAGGUUGUUAA